AAUGUAUGACGCCGUUGACUUUUUGAUAAACGUUUGACCUUUCGUCUUAUUCAAAAAAUUUAUGUAAUUAUCAUUUAUUUUAUUGUGACUUGAUUUAUCAUCAAAUGUUCUUUAAGUAUGACAUAAGUAUUUUUAUAUUUGUAUAAAAAAUUUGAAUAAGACGAAUGGUCAAACGUUGUGGUUAAAAAGUCAACGACGUCAUUAAU
rnacentral:pre_miRNA from 1 species